AGUGAACGCUGGCGGCAGGCCUAACACAUGCAAGUCGAACGGCAGCACGGCAGUAGCAAUACUGUGGGUGGCGAGUGGCGGACGGGUGAGGAAUACAUCGGGAUCUACCCUGUUGUGGGGGAUAACGUAGGGAAACUUACGCUAAUACCGCAUAAGAACUGAGGUUGAAAGCGGCGGACCGCAAGGCGUCGCGCGAUUGGAUGAACCGAUGUCCGAUUAGCUAGUUGGCGGGGUAAAGGCCCACCAAGGCGACGAUCGGUAGCUGGUCUGAGAGGACGACCAGCCACACUGGAACUGAGACACGGUCCAGACUCCUACUGGAGGCAGCAGUGGGGAAUAUUGGACAAUGGGCGCAAGCCUGAUCCAGCCAUGCCGCGUGGGUGAAGAAGGCCUCGGUUGUAAGACC
rnacentral:rRNA from 1 species